rnacentral:lncRNA from 1 species
GCAUUUUUAAGGGCAAAAGGGUUAAUUUCCUAUUCUUAGAUAAACCCAAUAACACGUGAUUCAGUAAUAUUUCACCCAAAAUAUAGAGUUUUGCUCAAGUUUCUCUCAAGAACAAGUUAGGGUUUUUAAUUAAGGAUUCAAAUUUAAUACUCAAAGUAAAAAAUCUCUCCAUCAAUCUUUGUAAAAUCAGGAACUAAGGUAUGUCAAGGUUGAUUAAGGUUGAUUUAUGGAUUUCUUUC